GAGUUCAACGGCCAGAAGCGGCACGGCAUCGCGUUCCGCGCGGUAGCGGUCACGUCGCUGGCCGCUGCGGGUUCGAAGGCUGCCUGAUCAUG
rnacentral:tRNA from 1 species